UUGCGGCCACACCUCCAUCGGCGCUCCUGUGAGCCGACACCACAGCUGCAGCGUUUACAGAGAACUAAGGCCUGGGUCUCUAAACCAUCAUGAAGGGUGGAGAUCGCCGAAGUGUGAAGCAAAAGUGACUCCUAGUACACAGCGUGAUGAUGAAAAGUAGGGGAGAAUGACCUCUGCGGGUGCUAAAGACGGGAGGGGCCGGGCUUAAGGGAGGCAAGAAACGGUAGGGGGUCUGCGUCGGCCCCAGCGACUCGGCCGGCCCCCGGCGGCUUCAGCCGGAGCGCCGUGACGCGCUUCCGUGGGUGUGGCCGGCUGCGCUCACGCUCACUUCCGUCGCGCCUGCGCCGUUGGCCGCCGGCCUCACGUUUGCGGCGGUUUGCCGGGAUGAACCAGCUAAGAGGAGGCCGCUGUUGAAGCCCGCGGACGAUGCGUUCUGGUGCGGCGGUCAGGGCCUGCCGGAAAGUCUGCAGGUGCCUGUUGUCUGGGUUUGGGGGUCGAGUGGGCGGAGGGCCGCCCGAGCUGUCGGUGGAAGGGAGCCGCUCCCUCGGAGCGCCCCUGAGGUCGCACGCAGAGCCGCCCGGGGGGAGCGAGCCGCCCGAAGCCCCCGAGUCCGGUGAGGGGAGCCAGGAGCUGGUAGAGAUCUGUCGGAGAAGGCAUUUCUUCAGCGGCAGCAAGCGGCAGCUUAGCCAACAUUCUCUUCUGAACGGGUGCCACUCCGGCUUGGGCCCCUUGGGCCUGGAGUUGCGGAAGAACUUGGCAGCAGAAUGGUGGUCCUCGGUGGUGGUGGUCAGGGAGCAGGUCUUCCCGGUGGAUGCCCUCCAUCACGAGCUUGGCCCUACGCUGCCCGGGGACAGUGCCUUCAGGUUAGUUUCAGCAGAAACUCUACGCGAAAUCUUGCAAGACAAAGAGCUGAGUAAGGAACAGCUAGUAGCAUUUCUUGAGAACUUAUUAAAAACUUCUGGGAAACUACGGGAGAACCUUCUUCACGGUGCUUUGGAGCACUAUGUUAGUUGCCUGGAUCUGGUAAACAAGAGGCUACCUUACGGCCUUGCUCAGAUUGGAGUAUGUUUUCAUCCUGUUUCUGAUACUAAGCAGACACCUGAUGGUGUUAAAAGAAUCGGUGAGAAGACUGAGGCUUCACUGGUUUGGUUUACUUCAGCAAGAACUGCAGGCCAGUGGCUUGAUUUCUGGUUACGUCAUCGACUCCUGUGGUGGAGAAAGUUUGCUGUGAGUCCAUCUAACUUCAGCAGCAGCGAUUGUCAGGAUGAAGAGGGACGAAAAGGAAACCAGCUUUACUACAAUUUCCCCUGGGGAAAGGAGCCAAUAGAGACCCUAUGGAAUCUAGGAGACCAUGAACUUUUACACAUGUAUCCUGGAAAUGAGUCUCAAUUACACGGCCGAGAUGGACGGAAAAAUGUAGUUCCAUAUGUUUUAUCUAUUAAUGGCAAUCUAGACCGAGGUGUGCUGGCUUACCUCUAUGAUUCUUUCCAGCUAACAGAGAACUCCUUUACAAGAAAGAAGAAUCUUCAUAGAAAGGUACUUAAACUUCACCCUUGUUUAGCCCCUGUUAAGGUUGCUUUGGAUGUGGGAAGAGGCCCAACAGUGGAACUAAGACAGGUUUGUCAAGGAUUAUUUAAUGAAUUACUAGAAAAUGGUAUUUCUGUGUGGCCUGGUUAUAUGGAAACUGUGCAAGCCUCAUUGGAACAACUUUAUUCAAAGCUCUGCUUCAGGAGGGAACUCAAGACAGAAGAAGCAGCCAAUGGUGACCAAGUUACCAACUUUAUGGCCUCAAAGACUUAAAGAUUUUUAAGGGGAGCAGCCAAUUCCUAUGCCUCAAUAACACUGUCCUCUCUACAGAACGCUGAUAGGAAAUGUAGCACAUAAAGGCAUGCCUUUGACAUUAGCUAAGUAUUGAAGACUGAGAACAUCCAUGAAAAUCAAUGUAAAUAUUUUUGCAGCCUUCCAAAAUCUGAGAGCAAAUUGAAAUGGAAUCCCUGGGGCAGCAUCCUUGAGAGAGCAGCACCUGGCAACAGUGGCCUCAGAGAACAACUUUGGGAAUAGUGAUGGUGGCCUUGGAACGCAACUUGGGGAAGAGCACCAACAGCACCAAUAAUUCAUUCUUCCUAUGGAACUGAAGUCUACAUCCUGUAAUUUUCAGGAAGGAGCAGUUGAAACAUACUUGAGGAAACAUGGACUCUUCUCUGAGAUGACAUGAUCCAAACUAGACCAAGGAUUGAUAUCUCAACUGACUGGAAAAAUAUAAACUUUCCUGAGAGUUUGUAAAAGGACUGGCCAAGGGCAUCAUAGCAUCAUAGUGAUUGGAGUAAGAGAGUUGCUACUCUUCACUAAACCAGUUAUAUUUUUACAAAUUUCAAGGAAUCCGUGAAGACUCAUUCAGCUGUCACAUUUCCCAGAAGACCUUUCCUAAAUCCUCUAGGCUGAAGUACUUCCUCUUCUGCCUCCCAUCCUUUUAUUAUCUGAUCCACUUGGAUGUCUAUGGUCCUCUCAAAUGUAACCUGUUUGAAACUGAACUCUAGCUAAUCUGCUAAUUACUGAAAAAUCAAUAGGUAGAUAAACAUAUACUAAAAUCCAAUUGUUUAAAAAAUGUUUUUAUUCAUAUAUUCAUUCAUUCAUCCAUCCAUCCAUUCACUUAUUUAACUAUGGUAAGAAGAGUUAACAUGAGAUCUACUUUCUUAAAUUUUUAAGUGCUCAAUACAGUGUUAUUAACUAUGUACAGCAAAAUGUUGUACCGCAAGAUCUGGAGAACUUGCUCAUCUUGCAUACCCAAAACUUUAUACCCAUUAAACAAUUCUCAUUUUCCCCAACUCCUCGUUCUUCCAGUUUUCCCCAUCUCAGUAAAUGCACCACUUCCCAUCGGCUGAUCAUAUUAGAUAUCUGAAAGUCAUUCUUGAUUCCUUCUUCACCUUCACUAACCUGUGAACCCAAAUCAAAUCUAAUCAUCUAACAAGUCCUACUGUUUCUUCCUCCAAAAUACACUUUGAAUCCACUUACAUCUCCAUUGUCCAUCCUCACCAUUGUUUGUCUCCUGGAUGACUGCAAAAGCCUCUCAACCAAUCCCCAACUUCUACUCUUGCCCUGCCUCACCUAGAAUGGAAUAACUUUGAUGAUGAUAAACUGGGUGCCAGGCCCUGACUUGUUCCCUUCCCUCUCCCUUCUCACCUGAGGUCACACUCCCCUCAUCUGAUUUUCAGCCAUACCAUUUUUAGGUCCUUCCCAAUCAGCCAAGAUCUUUCCCAAGUUGGAACCCCUGCACAGGUUAUUGUCCUUUGACUAGAGCCCUCUUUCCCUGUUUCUUCACAUGGCUAAUUCCUUCUCAUUCUUCAGGACUCUAGUUAAAUGUCAUCCCUUUGUAAAGCCAUCCCUAACUACCCUAUCUAAGUAGAUUGCUUCACCAUCCUCUGCUUCUCUCCAUCACUGUGCCAUUUUCCUUUUCCUUCAAACAAUCAGCAUGGUUUGUGAUUAUGAAUUUGUUUGGGUACUUGGGUUUUGUAUCUCCCCAACUAGACUGGAAGCUCCACCAGGGCAGAAAUUAAUGUAUAUCCCAGAGCUUGGCACAUUUGAGAUAUCAUUAAAUAUUUGAUGAGUGAAUCAAUGAUCAAUGAAUUUGGGUUC